rnacentral:rRNA from 1 species
GAUGAACGCUGGCGGCGUGCCUAAUACAUGCAAGUCGGGCGAACGGACGAGAAGCUUGCUCCUCUGACGUUAGCGGCGGACGGGUGAGUAACACGUGGAUAACCUACCUAUAAGACUGGGAUAACUUCGGGAAACCGGAGCUAAUACCGGAUAAUAUAUUGAACCGCAUGGUUCAAUAGUGAAAGACGGUCUUGCUGUCACUUAUAGAUGGAUCCGCGCUGCAUUAGCUAGUUGGUAAGGUAACGGCUUACCAAGGCAACGAUGCAUAGCCGACCUGAGAGGGUGAUCGGCCACACUGGAACUGAGACACGGUCCAGACUCCUACGGGAGGCAGCAGUAGGGAAUCUUCCGCAAUGGGCGAAAGCCUGACGGAGCAACGCCGCGUGAGUGAUGAAGGUCUUCGGAUCGUAAAACUCUGUUAUUAGGGAAGAACAUAUGUGUAAGUAACUAUGCACGUCUUGACGGUACCUAAUCAGAAAGCCACGGCUAACUACGUG